rnacentral:sRNA from 1 species
GCUGGGUGCAGAGGCGUGUACCUGUAAUCCAGUAGCUUGGGAGGUUGAGGCAGGAGGAUUGCGAAUUCAAAGCCAGGCUCAGCAACUUAGCAAGGCCUUAAGCAAUUCAGCAAGACCCUGUCUCUA